UACGGAGGGUGCAAGCGUUAAUCGGAAUUACUGGGCGUAAAGCGUGCGCAGGCGGUUUGUUAAGUCUGCUGUGAAAUCCCCGAGCUCAACUUGGGAAUUGCAGUGGAUACUGGCAAGCUGGAGUACGGUAGAGGAAGGUGGAAUUCCCGGUGUAGCAGUGAAAUGCGUAGAUAUCAGGAGGAACACCGGUGGUGUAAACGGCUUUCUGGACCAUAACUGACGCUGAGGCACGAAAGCGUGGGUAGCAAACAGG
rnacentral:rRNA from 1 species